rnacentral:rRNA from 1 species
UACGUAGGGCGCGAGCGUUGUCCGGAUUUAUUGGGCGUAAAGAGCUCGUAGGCGGCUUGUUGCGUCGACUGUGAAAACCUGCGGCUCAACCGUGUGGUCUGCAGUCGAUACGGGCAGGCUGGAGUUCGGUAGGGGAGACUGGAAUCCCUGGUGUAGCGGUGAAAUGCGCAGAUAUCAGGAGGAACACCGGUGGCGAAGGCGGGUCUCUGGGCCGAUACUGACGCUGAGGAGCGAAAGCGUGGGGAGCGAACAGG